UGAGGAAUAUUGGUCAAUGGUCGGCAGACUGAACCAGCCAAGUCGCGUGAGGGAAGACGGCCCUACGGGUUGUAAACCUCUUUUGUCGGAGAGUAAAGUGCGCUACGCGUAGCGUAUUGCAAGUAUCCGAAGAAAAAGCAUCGGCUAACUCCGUGCCAGCAGCCGCGGUAAUACGGAGGAUGCGAGCGUUAUCCGGAUUUAUUGGGUUUAAAGGGUGCGUAGGCGGCACGCCAAGUCAGCGGUGAAAUUUCCGGGCUCAACCCGGACUGUGCCGUUGAAACUGGCGAGCUAGAGUGCACAAGAGGCAGGCGGAAUGCGUGGUGUAGCGGUGAAAUGCAUAGAUAUCACGCAGAACCCCGAUUGCGAAGGCAGCCUGCUAGGGUGCGACAGACGCUGAGGCACGAAAGCGUGGGUAUCGAACA
rnacentral:rRNA from 1 species